GACAGGAAAGUAGCAGUUGGAUUCAAAAAUCCAAAAGAGGAAUCAGAGGUUCGUCGGGCGCCGAGGAUAUCCCCAAGUCGUUCAUUGCGACAACGGGACGAACUUCGUCGGAGCGAGCCGCCAUCUCAGCGCUCUGCGGAUCAGGCUCAAGGAGCAGGGAGACGCAAUUCGCGACUUUGCGU